rnacentral:rRNA from 1 species
CACGUAGGGGGGCAAGCGUUGUCCGGAUUUUAUUGGGCGUAAAGAGCUCGUAGGCGGUUCGGUAAGUCGGGUGUGAAACCUCCAGGCUCAACCUGGAGACGCCACCCGAUACUGCUGUGACUAGAGUCCGGUAGGGGAGCGUGGAAUUCCUGGUGUAGCGGUGAAAUGCGCAGAUAUCAGGAAGAACACCCGUGGCUAAGGCGGCUCUCUGGGCCGAUACUGACGCUGAGGAGCGAAAGCGUGGGAGCGAACAGG